GACGUAGGGGGCGAGCGUUGUCCGGAUUUAUUGGGCGUAAAGCGCGCGCAGGCGGUUUCUUAAGUCUGAUGUGAAAGCCCACGGCUUAACCGUGGAAGGUCAUUGGAAACUGGGAGACUUGAGUGCAGAAGAGAAGAGCGGAAUUCCACGUGUAGCGGUGAAAUGCGUAGAGAUGUGGAGGAACACCAGUGGCGAAGGCGGCUCUUUGGUCUGUAACUGACGCUGAGGCGCGAAAGCGUGGGGAUCAAACAGG
rnacentral:rRNA from 1 species